CUAAAAUUUGAUCACCUAAUUACGAAAUUGCUUGUGAAAAGGCCGGAUCGUCACACAGUUGUGACUGUUGUACCAGACCUCCAAAGGAUUUUACUGCUAAAAGGCAUCACAGGCUUAAAGAUGUACGAUUAUUCUUUCCGAACAACAUACAGAGUUCACAACAUCAAGCGGCUCGAUGAUAUAGUGUCUGACAUGAAAUUGGCGGAUUCUUCCAUAGCUGCGGAGCUGGUUUCUGAAAAUAGAUGGGAUAUUGUGUGUUAUGACCGCCUGCCACGACCUCAGCGAUUCUGGUACAGCUUGAAGAUAGCAUCCCCUUGGAUUUGUUUUGUAAUAUUUUUCGUUACAAUUACAGUUUUGAUUUAUUUUU